GAAGCACGCCGGACCGCCGCUGGUGCAAGUCUCGAAAGAGCGCACUGGAGGAACGUCCGGACUGCACAGGACAGCGCAGGAGCUAACGGCUCUCCACCGCGAGGUGAGGAUCAGAGCAACAGAGACGAGCCGAUUCAGUUCGGGUGAAACGGGCAAUCUCUGCGCGCAGCAACACCAAGUAGGCCAGCGUCGAUGUGGUUCCGCAGAGCUGGCGGGUAGGUGGCAUCGAGCCGUCUGGUGACAGGCGGCCCAGAGUAAUGGCGGUCACGCUGGGGUUCGAGAGGAUCUCAGUGCACAGAAUCCGGCUUACAGGCGUGCUUCACAC
rnacentral:RNase_P_RNA from 1 species